CACACCCCAGGCCGCGCCCGCGCCUGCGCCUCAGCCCCGGCUGCAUCUUCCCUGUCUUGUUCCUGAGCGCAGAGGGCUCCUCCGGCCCCGCCGAGCUGCGCCCGCUGCCUUCACACCCCGGACAUCCGCGCCACACUGUUGGAUCCUGGAUCCUGUUCUAGAAGGAGACGCUGAGUUCUCCCCACUCUACCUGGAGCUGCUGAGGUCAAGUGGAGAGUGCCGGGGCUGAAGCCCAGCGAGCCCCUCCCUGUCACACCACACUGCACAUGUGACACCAAAGGUGGGGUUCACCUCUUUUCAGACUUUCUGCGGUUGCCCUCACAUGGGCUGUCUGGAGGUGCACCCUCACUCUUCCUGAGGACUGUGGUUCCUUCUCCAUCACUGGUUCAUUCUGCAUGGUGUGACCCACCACGGCUCUGGAGUCGGAUUUCCACCCAGGUCAUUCAGCUGAGACCUGCGCUUCUCAGGCCUACCCGUGACAUGUGCUCAGUUACCUGAGCUGCUGGUGGUCACUCAUGUGGCUAUAGCCUGCUGCCUGGAGGCCAGGCCUCCUGCUUCCCCCUCUCCUCACCACAGCCUGUUGGGAUGGAACAGGACAGGGGGUGAGACCGUGGUGCUUUCACACUCAGCCUCCAUGGACAUCCUGUCAUUCCCACCCGGGGAGGUCUGGUCCCCACCCUGGGUGUCCCAGCCUAGCUCCGCUACGAGUGUGAGGGCCCAGGGCAACCGCCUAGCCCUCAUCUGCCCCCUGCACUGCAUCCUCCCCACUCAUUCAUUCCACCGGCAUUUAUUGAGCAUCUACUGUGUGCCAGAUGCAAAGAAGACAGUGGGAUAACUGGGUAAGGAGCAUUCCAGGCAGAGGGAGCAGGCAGUGCAAACAUGGGAGAUGCGGUUGCAGUGAGAAGGAGCAGAGGAGACCAGGAGUUGAGGUGACUGCAGAGCGAUUGCAGAGCUCAUAGACGUGAUGAAGACCAGCUGGGCACUGCAGCGGCUCUGGCUUCUGCUGUGAGGGACGGGGAGCUGUGGAGACUCCCUCUGUUUGGUCCCAUUUCCAUAUUGCUGAGCACCUGCUGCAUGCUCUCUGUCCUGCUCAGAGCCAGUACCUGGAUGGAGACUGUGUGUUCUGGGUGGACUGCGGGAGAAUGCAUUCUUUGCAGAAGAGACAACCAGGUGCUGAUGCCUGAAGUCAUAACCAGACCUGAGGCACUCAGACAAGGACUGGUGGCCAGGCCAGAGGAGCAGAGCUCAGGGUGUGCACAGAACUCAGAAGUCAGACCAUUGAACAGUGACAGAACCUUUCAGCCCAUUGGCAAUGAGGCUGCCCAGGCAGCCAGAGGCCUGGUCAAAUCUGAGGUCUGCAGAGAUGGAGCUGUCAUUCUGUGUUUCCUUUGGCAGUCCCAACACCAGCCUCGUUGCACCCUCCUCUUAGCUUCCCUGGGUUCUCCAGCCCUAAGGGUGGUAGCAGCUUCCUACAAGUAUCCAGCUCUGAGAUUCUGCAACAUCCACUUUUGCUCUCUGAGCCUUGCAAAACCUGCACAAUCAGUCCCUAACUUAUAUCCCCUCUGUUUGAAAUACCUAGUGUGGUUUCUA